rnacentral:lncRNA from 1 species
GCACAUUUACAGAAUUAAAUUGGUUAAUGUAUUUAAACUGUUCCCAGCCUGCAUUUGUAGGCUGCCGUUUGAAGUAAGCAGCAGGCUAAUUGAGCACUGCCACGUCCCUCAUUAUUCAGCUAGCAGUGUGCGAUGGGAUGAACAAUACGGAACCAGGCUAUGAGUGGAAGAAAUAAUCUCUAAGAAUUUCAGCAGCAGUAUGUUCUAAGACAUCGCUACUUUGCAGUGGAUUGGAGACCAGAAGAGGAAGCGAAGGGAGAACCCAUUUCUCAUGUUAUUUCUCAGAGAUUCUCUUCUAAUGCCUCUGGGAAUGGACGUUGCUAUUGUAGCAGUAGAGGGCUGUGAGUCCUCACCGAGAAAUGUCAACCCUUUGCCAUGA